rnacentral:rRNA from 1 species
UGGGGAAUCUUGCGCAAUGGGCGAAAGCCUGACGCAGCGACGCCGCGUGGGUGAUGAAGGCCUUCGGGUUGUAAAGCCCUGUGGGGAGGGAAGAAUAAGCAAGGGUGAACAAUCCGUGCGAUGACGGUACCUCCUUAGCAAGCACCGGCUAACUCUGUGCCAGCAGCCGCGGUAAUACAGAGGGUGCAAACGUUGUUCGGAUUUACUGGGCGUAAAGCGCGUGUAGGCGGCCGACCAAGUCGGAUGUGAAAGCCCGGGGCUCAACCUCGGAAGUGCAUUCGAUACUGGUAGACUGGAGUCUCGGAGAGGCGGGUGGAACUCUCGGUGUAGAGGUGAAAUUCGUAGAUAUCGAGAAGAACACCGGUGGCGAAGGCGGCCCGCUGGACGAAGACUGACGCUGAGACGCGAAAGCGUGGGGAGCAAACAGGAUUAGAUACCCCCGUAGUCC